rnacentral:rRNA from 1 species
GAUGAACGCUAGCGGCAGGCUUAAUACAUGCAAGUCGUGGGGCAGCAUGACUGUAGCAAUACAGUUGAUGGCGACCGGCAAACGGGUGCGGAGCACGUACGCAACUUACCCAAAACUGGUGAAUAGCCCUCCGAAAGGAGGAUUAAUACACCGUAACCUAUUGAGAUGGCAUCAUUUUAAUAGUAUAGCUCCGGCGGUUUUGGAUGGGCGUGCGGCUGAUUAGGUAGUUGGUAGAGGUAACGGCUCACCAAGCCUGCGAUCAGUAACUGGUGUGAGAGCACGACCAGUCACACGGGCACUGAGACACGGGCCCGACUCCUACGGGAGGCAGCAGUAAGGAAUAUUGGUCAAUGGACGCAAGUCUGAACCAGCCAUGCCGCGUGAAGGAUGAGGGUCCUCUGGAUUGUAAACUUCUUUUAUAGGGGACGAAACCCUCUUUUUCUAAAGAGACUGACGGUACCCUAGGAAUAAGCACCGGCUAACUCCGUGCCAGCAGCCGCGGUAA